rnacentral:rRNA from 1 species
GAUGAACGCUGGCGGCGUGCCUAAUACAUGCAAGUCGAGCGAACGGACGGGAAGCUUGCUUCUCUGAUGUUAGCGGCGGACGGGUGAGUAACACGUGGAUAACCUACCUAUAAGACUGGGAUAACUUCGGGAAACCGGAGCUAAUACCGGAUAAUAUUUUGAACCGCAUGGUUCAAAAGUGAAAGACGGUCUUGCUGUCACUUAUAGAUGGAUCCGCGCUGCAUUAGCUAGUUGGUAAGGUAACGGCUUACCAAGGCAACGAUGCAUAGCCGACCUGAGAGGGUGAUCGGCCACACUGGAACUGAGACACGGUCCAGACUCCUACGGGAGGCAGCAGUAGGGAAUCUUCCGCAAUGGGCGAAAGCCUGACGGAGCAACGCCGCGUGAGUGAUGAAGGUCUUCGGAUCGUAAAACUCUGUUAUUAGGGAAGAACAAAUGUGUAAGUAACUAUGCACGUCUUGACGGUACCUAAUCAGAAAGCCACGGCUAACUACGUG